CAGUGUUGGACAAAACUUUACGGAACGCGCGAACGGCGUAUAUUCGCUUCGUAGCGGCACCCAAGCCGCAGGCAGAAGCGGGCAAGUUGACUCGUUCAGAGGGAUGGAAGAGUGCGCACAUAGCAACCUACCGCGGUAGCAUUGCGUUUGAAUCCAAUAGACGGCGCAAAGCUACCGCGUUGGGUCGCCACGUGCGCACAGAACAAAGUGACGCUUCCGUCUGCUUCCUUGGUGUCGAUCCGAAGAGAAAGGAAAUACACUAUUCGCGUGUUUCGUAAAAUUUUGUGCAGCACUGUGCAAUCUCAGAAUGUAUAUAAAGCCUACUUCCCACUUGAUGACGCGAUGACGUCUUCUGGGCGGACAUUGGGGACCUCCAGCCCCUUCGAAGCAUUCUCGAGGGAACUUACGUCCUGUCAUCCAGUAUGGUGACGAUGUCCAAACCGCGCCUUUCUCGCCUGCCAGUGUUUUUUUAGCAUUUGGUUCUUUCUUGUGUUUCCUUGUUCUCCUGGAGAUUGAACCAUAAAGCACAAAACUCGCUCGUUUGUCGACGUAACCACUCGCGCCGCGACGACGUGUCGGGCGGAACAAGCUGGGAGCUGAGAUGUCUGGCAUGUCAGAGAUGUCCUCGGUCUUCGGAAUGUGGAGCAUGGGCGGCGGAGACACUGGGGCUCAAGGAGGAGGGUAAGGUGCACAGUUAUGCGGAACAUUCGCUAAUCUCCACCACUUUGGAAACGGAACUGCACAACACUGCGUAACGUAAACAUAAAUCCGAUUGGUAUGCUACUCUUUGCACUGAAAAUGGGGGAUGUACUCUUUUACGGCAUGGUCGCGAGAUCACGGCGCUUCAAA